rnacentral:rRNA from 1 species
AUACGAAGGGGGCUAGCGUUACUCGGAAUGACUGGGCGUAAAGGGCGCGCAGGCGGUUUGAACAGUCAGAUGUGAAAUUCCUGGGCUUAACCUGGGGGCUGCAUUUGAUACGUUUAGACUAGAGUGUGAAAGAGGGUUGUGGAAUUCCAAGUGUAGAGGUGAAAUUCGUAGAUAUUUGGAGGAACACCGGUGGCGAAGGCGGCGACCUGGUUCACAACUGACGCUGAGGCGCGAAAGCGUGGGGAGCAAACAGGAUUAGAUACCCUGGUAGUCCACGCUGUAAACGAUGUAUGCUAGAUGUUGGGUAACGCAGUUACUCAGUGUCGGCGCUAACGCAUUAAGCAUACCGCCUGGGGAGUACGGCCGCAAGGUUGAA